rnacentral:lncRNA from 1 species
GAAAAGGCGAAAGCUAAGAUGAAAAAAAAAAAAAAAAAGAAUCGACCGUUCAAGUAUUCAAAAUUGCACGGAUAGAAAUAGGGGCAUAUCUAAGUAUAAUAAAUAUAUUAUAUAUAGUAUAAUAUAUAUGUUAUGCGGUAUAUAUCUAUAUUGAAUUUCUGAUAUAGAAAUGUGAUAUAGAAAUGAUAGAAUCAUUUCUGAUUGGACCAAAUACUGGUCUCCGAUAGAGAUCAAAGAAAAUAGACAAGAAAUCAAAUAGUAGAAAACACUUUUCAAUAUAGGAACCGGUAUAUAAUGAAUUCAACGGUUCCAGCAUAAUAUAAAUGAAAGAAAAAAGGGUGACGGCAUCAUAAUGUGAUCCUAAUCACAUCACAAAACAAAAAAGGGGAUAUGGCGAAAUUGGUAGACGCUACGGACUUAAUUGGAUUGAGCCUUGGUAUGGAAACCUACCAAGUGAGAACUUUCAAAUUCAGAGAAACCCUGGAAUUAAAAAUGGGCGAUCCUGAGCCAAAUCCUGUUUUAUUAAAACAAACAAGGGUUUCAUAAACCGAGAAUAAAAAAGGAUAGGUGCAGAGACUCAAUGGAAGCUGUUCUAACAAAUGGAGUUGGCUGCAUUGUGUUAGUAAAGGAAUCCUUACAUCGAAACUUCCGAAAGGAUGAAGGAUAAACCUAUAUGCAUACGUAUAGUACUGCAAUACUAUCUCCAAAUGAUUAAUGACGGCUCGAAUCUGUAUUUUUUUAUAUUUAUAUGAAAAACGAAAGAAUUGUUGUGAAUCAAUUAAAAAUUGAAAAAAGAAUCGAAUAUCCAUUGAUCAAAUCAUUCACUCCAUCAUAGUCUGAUAGAUCUUUUUAAGAAUUGAUUAAUCGGACGAGAAUAAAGAUAGAGUCCCAUUAUACAUGUCAAUAUCGACAACAAUGAAAUUUAUAGUAAGAGGAAAAUCCGUCGACUUUAGAAAUCGUGAGGGUUCAAGUCCCUCUAUCCCCAAAACGAAACGGUUGACUCCCUAAUUAUUUAUCUUUUAUCAUUUUGUUAGCGAUUCAAAAUUCGUUAUGUUUCUCAUUCAUUCUACUCUUUCACAAACGGAUCUGAGCGGAAAUUUUUUUCUUAUCACAAGCCUCGUGUGUUAUAUAUAUGAUACACGUACAAACGAACAUCUUUGAGCAAGGAAUCCCCAUUAAAAAUUUAAUUUGAAUAAUUAACAAUAUAUAUCAUUACUUGUACUGAAACUUAGAAUUUUUUUUGAAGAUCCAAGAAAUUCUAUACAGGGCCUGUAUAAUACUUUGUAAUACUUUUUUCGUUUUUCUAAUUGACAUAGACCCAAGUCCUAUAUUAAAAUAAAAUGAGGAUGAUGCGAUGUGUCGUGACUGGUCGGG